UACGGAGGGUGCGAGCGUUAAUCGGAAUUACUGGGCGUAAAGCGCGCGUAGGCGGCUAAGUAAGCCGGUUGUGAAAGCCCCGGGCUCAUCCUGGGAAUAGCAUCCGGAAGUGUUUAGCUAGAGUGCAGAAGAGGAAGGUAGAAUUCCCGGUGUAGCGGUGAAAUGCGUAGAGAUCGGGAGGAAUACCACUGGCGAAGGCGGCCUUCUGGUCUGACACUGACGCUGAGGUGCGAAAGCGUGGAGAGCAAACAGG
rnacentral:misc_RNA from 1 species